AAAUUGAAGAGUUUGAUCAUGGCUCAGAUUGAACGCUGGCGGCAGGCCUAACACAUGCAAGUCGAACGGUAGCACAGAGAGCUUGCUCUCGGGUGACGAGUGGCGGACGGGUGAGUAAUGUCUGGGAAACUGCCUGAUGGAGGGGGAUAACUACUGGAAACGGUGGCUAAUACCGCAUAACGUCGCAAGACCAAAGAGGGGGACCUUCGGGCCUCUUGCCAUCAGAUGUGCCCAGAUGGGAUUAGCUGGUUGGUGAGGUAACGGCUCACCAAGGCGACGAUCCCUAGCUGGUCUGAGAGGAUGACCAGCCACACUGGAACUGAGACACGGUCCAGACUCCUACGGGAGGCAGCAGU
rnacentral:rRNA from 3 species